rnacentral:rRNA from 1 species
AACUUUCAACAACGGAUCUCUUGGCUCUCGCAUCGAUGAAGAACGCAGCGAAAUGCGAUAAGUAAUGUGAAUUGCAGAAUUCAGUGAAUCAUCGAAUCUUUGAACGCACCUUGCGCUCCUUGGUAUUCCGAGGAGCAUGCCUGUUUGAGUGUCAUA